rnacentral:rRNA from 1 species
CAGUAGCCGCGGUAAUACGUAGGGUGCAAGCGUUAAUCGGAAUUACUGGGCGUAAAGCGUGCGCAGGCGGUUUUGUAAGACAGAGGUGAAAUCCCCGGGCUCAACCUGGGAACUGCCUUUGUGACUGCAAGGCUAGAGUACGGCAGAGGGGGAUGGAAUUCCGCGUGUAGCAGUGAAAUGCGUAGAUAUGCGGAGGAACACCGAUGGCGAAGGCAAUCCCCUGGGCCUGUACUGACGCUCAUGCACGAAAGCGUGGGGAGCAAACAGGAUUAGAUACCCGAGUAGUCCCUGUCUCUUAUAC